rnacentral:lncRNA from 1 species
UGCGUGUGCGUGUGCGUGUGCGUGUGCGUGUGCGUGUGCGUGUGCGUGUGCGUGUGCGUGUGCGUGUGCGUGUGCGUGUGCGUGUGCGUGUGCGAGAAGGCUACAAGUACCUGACCAGGCCUGACGGUGUGUGUGCGUGUGCGUGUGUGUGCGUAUGUGUGUGUGUGUAUGUGUGUGUAUGCGUGUGUGUGCGUGUUGCACCCAGCAGGGCGACGACAUUCUCACUAUUGGAUAGAUGCGAUGCAGAGCGUGGCUGGAUGGCUUGAUAGACGUUGAGACGUUGAGUGAAUGGCUUAGCAGAAAUAGUGCACUCAGACGUCCAUGCGUGUGGAUAACAUGAGUGGUAAGGACAGCAUACACACAGUGGCAGGUGGCAGGUGGCUGGCAGAAGUUAAGGCCUGACUGCUGCUCCCGGAGGUUCCGGCUUCAAAUCCUGCCGACCCAUCGAUGUGUGCGGGGUGAUGAUUUGGGAGGUGGUCCCCCAUCUUGAGGAGGGUAUAGGACGCGAUUGUAUCAAUUUGCGAGCUGGUCAGUUACUGAGUUGUGGCGCCGUUGAUACGCUAGUUUUAAUUGGAUGGUGGUGGUGAGUUGCUCUGAAGUUGAGUUGUUCUGAAGUCCAAUGGGGUGAAUGGAUUAGGGUGCCCCUCUCGCAGGGGAGAGCAGGGAGCUGCCUCGGGAAAGGGGGCCACUGGUGAAGCUAUACUACCCUGUAACAACAUCAUACAGUGGUAAGUGUGGAUGGCUACACUGAUACGGAUGCGUGGGUGAUUAGGAUUAGUUUCCUAGCUAAUAUUCCCCACCAAUUUAAUCCACGCAUGCAUGUGCUGUGCGCACGCCCGCUUUCGCUCCAGGAGGUCAUCAUGAUGUCAAGCGUUCACAUACAUCAGCGCAUCCUUCAACAACAGCGCACGCAACCUACUUCCAUGCAGGUCUUGCAGGCGAAGGACAGUUGCGACCCUUUGGCACAGGCGAUGCAGUCACGGUACUUAGUGACGUUGGUUCCGACAAGAGAGGGGUCCAGGCAAUAAUCCGUGCAUGCGGCUGCGUGGGAGGAGGCGCCGGGUAGAUGAGAAUAUUUGGACCGCGAAAUAUUGUUUGGUUAAUUGCAUGUCAAAUGGGCGAACAACAGAAUUGGCUAUGCGGGGAUGGAGGCAGGAAAGAUUGCAGAAAUAAUGUGCGUGUCCAUCAGCAAAGAAGAUCAACGGCCGGUAUGUAAUGCUUACGUAGAUAACAAUCCAAACAAUGUGUGGCUGUGGCUGCGGCUUGUUGGCAUUCGCAAUAAUUAACACAUGGCAUGAACUAAGGACGCAGUCUCCAUAUCAACAUGCUGCUGCUAUCCAACCCCAUCAGUAGUUUGGCGAGCGACCGAGUUGAGCACAGUAUGUCAAGCCGUUUCUAAUCGACAAAUGUACGAUCUCUGUGGAAUAGAUGUGACAUACAUGGUGUUGUAGUAGCCGGUACACAGUACGGCACCAUGAACAACUACAAAUACGCGCUAAGUGCUAACACCAGCAUCUCGAGAGGCCUUUUCAGCGGCCAGCUACUACAGCUGUCUCACCUCCCGAUACAUACGGAACGCAUUCCGUAAGGCAGGCUUUCUGCAUGACUUUAUUGGGUGCUUUACCGCAUUGGUAGCAAGGUGAGGAGAACCACGUCGUCGACACGCACAGGCGGCAGGCGUCUGGUUCCAGCGUAGGAUAUUCGGUGUUGUUAUAACAUUUCUGGCAGGCAGAAUCCUUAUUGGAACAAUUGGCGGCUGGGCGGGAGGAAGACAGGCGUGGGUUCGGGGAGGGGGCCACAAUGACACACGAGCACGCGAGCAAUGGGAAUAGUCAGCGAUUUGGCUCAUGUAGCUUGCUUGCGCAGCGGUCUUGAGAGCAGGUUAUGAGGUCGCGCUUUAAAUGUUGUACCAUGAUCACAAGAUGCAUGCCGGAUGCACGGUAAGUAGGGUUAUGGACGGGUUAUGGCCGGCAAGGAGUGAGGAAGGUAACAGCCAGGGAGGAACAGCUAGCUGUUUCGGCACACGGGUAUGCCGACUGGAAUGCUAAUGGUGCUGAUCAUGGGAAGAAAGCCGGUAGAUACGCAGUCACGCAUUGCAGGGUAGAGUAAUGUAAGAGUCAUCUUGUUUGUCUGCUGCUGGACGGCUUUAUCCAAGCAUUUGCACGGGUGUAGGGUACUCAAAUCAACAAAAGGGCGGAAGACGAUGGACAAAAGCUAGGCUACUAAGCUGUAAGCAUAUUAUUGCAGGUGUAUGUACCUACCGCAAUUCCUGCACUUCGACAUUUGAGGGUGCAAACCAACAAUCAAGUAACGGUGAGUGCACAUGGUUUAAUUUAUUCCUGAUCAGGAAUAAAUUAAAGCUCAUGAGCUCGCUCGCGUUGGCCGCCUCUGCCUAAACUAGUAACCUUGAAGCACGUCCUCACCCCUGGUUUUGUAUACGUGGUCGAGGUUUCCACGAAACAACAACCCACUUACCUACUGCCGGCGCCAUCAGGGCGGGAACCGGUUUCGAUGACGGGAAUCGUGGUGUGGGCACUGGGCUGCGUGGCGGCGGAGACAAACUACGUGGUGAAGGGGAUGGCCUAGGAGGCGGCAUCCUAGAGGUUGCUGACGGGCUGGGGGGACGCGGUGAAGGGGUAGGCGGCGGUGGCUGGACUUCCAGGGUGCUUAGGGAAGGGCACUCUGAGGGUGAGGUCAAGAAGCGGCAGAGGUGCACCCUCAGGGUGUCCGUACCGACCCAGGAGCCCCCAUACACGACCAACUGAUAGGCGCCCAUUGCCAACUGCGACAUGGGAUCGACGGUGUUGAUGAACUGGAUUUUGCGGUCGCUGUUUGUGAAGGUCGCGGGGUAGCCAUUGUCCUGCAGGAAUGUAUGUCGAUGGUACAGUUAAGGAUAAAAUCCAAGCACGCUUAUUGAACGCCUAAACAGUAAUAAAGCAAUAGCAGAUCUGUUAACCCCUGGAACCAUGCUCUCUUAAGGGAGUUAUGUACAUUACGGAGGCAUGGAAGCCCUCACCAUGGUUGCAUUUACUUCGUGGAUGUUGACCUUGGAUGCAUAUAUGGUGUUGCUUAGGCCGGAAUCAACAUUCUUGGCAACACGGACGGCGAUGUAAAGGUUUCGACCCAUUAAUGUAUUGUUGUAGACAGGUAGCCAAUCGGGAGUCACCCGCAGGUAGUUGUUGUUGCCAGUCAGGUAGGUGGCAGGCAGUGUAAAGGUCCGAGCUGUGCCUGGCAGCAAGGCACUGCUGUUCAGCUGGUCACCUCCGACCGCAGGUGUGGCCCAGCCCAUGCGGGAGAUCUCCGCAGCGUUGGGGCAC